ACGUAUGGUGCAAGCGUUAUCCGGAUUUACUGGGUGUAAAGGGAGCGUAGACGGAGUGGCAAGUCUGAUGUGAAAACCCGGGGCUCAACCCCGGGACUGCAUUGGAAACUGUCAAUCUGGAGUACCGGAGAGGUAAGCGGAAUUCCUAGUGUAGCGGUGAAAUGCGUAGAUAUUAGGAGGAACACCAGUGGCGAAGGCGGCUUACUGGACGGUAACUGACGUUGAGGCUCGAAAGCGUGGGGAGCAA
rnacentral:rRNA from 1 species